rnacentral:rRNA from 1 species
UACGUAGGUGGCAAGCGUUGUCCGGAAUUAUUGGGCGUAAAGCGCGCGCAGGCGGUCUCUUAAGUCUGAUGUGAAAGCCCCCGGCUCAACCGGGGAGGGUCAUUGGAAACUGGGAGACUUGAGGACAGAAGAGGAGAGUGGAAUUCCAAGUGUAGCGGUGAAAUGCGUAGAUAUUUGGAGGAACACCAGUGGCGAAGGCGGCUCUCUGGUCUGUUACUGACGCUGAGGCGCGAAAGCGUGGGGAGCAAACAGGAUUAGAACCCCUGUAGUCC